GGGAAUUUUGCACAAUGGGGGAAACCCUGAUGCAGCGACGCCGCGUGAUUUAGAAGGCCUUCGGGUUGUAAAAAUCUUUUGUAUAGGAAGAAAAUGACAGUACUAUACGAAUAAGGUCCGGCUAAUUACGUGCCAGCAGCCGCGGUAAUACGUAAGGACCGAGCGUUGUCCGGAAUCAUUGGGCGUAAAGGGUACGUAGGCGGGUCAUUAAGUUAGAAGUCAAAGGCUAUAGCUCAACUAUAGUAAGCUUCUAAAACUGGAGACCUUGAGUAAUGGAAGGGAAAGUGGAAUUCCUAGUGUAGCGGUGGAAUGCGCAGAUAUUAGGAGGAAUACCGGUGGCGAAGGCGACUUUCUGGCCAUUAACUGACGCUGAGGUACGAAAGCGUGGGUAGCAAACAGG
rnacentral:rRNA from 1 species